rnacentral:snRNA from 1 species
UCGGCUGUCAGCGGACUGCU